rnacentral:tRNA from 1 species
GGGUCCGUAGCUCAGUCUGGCAGAGCAAUCGGCUCUUAACCGAUAGGUCGGGGGUUCAAAUCCCUUCGGGCUCA